rnacentral:rRNA from 1 species
GAUGAACGCUAGCGAUAGGCUUAACACAUGCAAGUCGAGGGGCAGCACGGUGUGGCAAUACACUGGUGGCGACCGGCGUACGGGUGCGUAACACGUAUGCAACCUACCCGCUAUUGGGGGAUAACCCGGCGAAAGUCGGACUAAUAUCCCAUAUUAUUCUUACCGGGCAUCCGGUGAGUCUGAAAGAUUUAUCGAUUGCGGAUGGGCAUGCGGAUGAUUAGCUAGUAGGUGGGGUAACGGCUCACCUAGGCGACGAUCAUUAGGGGUUCUGAGAGGAAGGUCCCCCACACUGGAACUGAGACACGGUCCAGACUCCUACGGGAGGCAGCAGUGAGGAAUAUUGGUCAAUGGGCGCUAGCCUGAACCAGCCAAGUCGCGUGAAGGAUGACAGAUCUAUGGUUUGUAAACUUCUUUUGCAGGGGAGUAAAGUGCGACACGUGUGUUGUAUUGCAAGUACCCUGCGAAUAAGCAUCGGCUAACUACGUGCCAGC